UGGGUGCAUAAUGGAUUGCGCAGUGGUUCGUGCAUCCCAUGCGAGCUACAGGCCAUGCACUACGGGCCUAUGCAUUAUAGAACACAUGCUGCUAGUGGGCCUAGGCGCCCAUAGGCCAAGCCUACGGGCUAGGCCUGUAGGCCUACGCAUCUGCAUCUGUGGGUUUGAUCUACUGAUCUUAUCCAUCUUGGGCUUCUCUGCUGUGGGUCAAAUUCGAGGCACC
rnacentral:lncRNA from 1 species